GGAUAGAUCGAAGGUGAGGUACAACAAUGUGUAUUGUUAUUACUGCAAGAAGAAAUGACACAUUAAGAAAGAUUGCAACAAGUUGCAGGGUAAAGAUGAUUUACAUGCAAAUCAUGCGAGAUAAUCAGGUAACGAGACUAACAUUGUUGAGAAUUUUUCGGAUGAUGGAGAUGUAAUGCUGGCUAUAUCUGAUAGGGAAUCCAAACCUGGGGAGUAGAUUCUGGAUUCUGCAUGUUAGUAUCAUAUGUGUCCCAAUAGGGCUUUAUUUCAG
rnacentral:lncRNA from 1 species